GAUGAACGCUGGCGGCGUGCCUAAUACAUGCAAGUCGAGCGAAUGGAUUAAGAGCUUGCUCUUAUGAAGUUAGCGGCGGACGGGUGAGUAACACGUGGGUAACCUGCCCAUAAGACUGGGAUAACUCCGGGAAACCGGGGCUAAUACCGGAUAACAUUUUGAACCGCAUGGUUCGAAAUUGAAAGGCGGCUUCGGCUGUCACUUGUGGAUGGACCCGCGUCGCAUUAGCUAGUUGGUGAGGUAACGGCUCACCAAGGCAACGAUGCGUAGCCGACCUGAGAGGGUGAUCGGCCACACUGGGACUGAGACACGGCCCAGACUCCCACGGGAGGCAGCAGUAGGGAAUCUUCCGCAAUGGACGAAAGUCUGACGGAGCAACGCCGCGUGAGUGAUGAAGGCUUUCGGGUCGUAAAACUCUGUUGUUAGGGAAGAACAAGUGCUAGUUGAAUAAGCUGGCACCUUGACGGUACCUAACCAGAAAGCCACGGCUAACUACGUGCCAGCAGCCGCAGUAA
rnacentral:rRNA from 1 species